AAGAAAGUAAGAAAGGGCGUAUGGCGGAUGCCUAGAUUCACGGAGGCGAUUUAAGACGAUAAGCUGCGAUAAGCUUCUGGGUAGGUGCAAAUAACCCUUUGAUCCCGAGAUUCGAAUGGGGAUGUAACCCAGCCGUUCAGAUACUCCAUCAGUAAGAGAGCUUUAACGCAGGAACUGGAAACAUCUUAGUACCUGCAGGUUAUGGUUAAACACGAUUCCCAGUGCUGUUUUAACGGGGAACAGCCCAAAACCAUGGCGUCGUGCGCGGCUGGCCAGUAGGGUCUACCGCGACAUUGUAAUUGAAAUGGUGAGUGGAAGCAAUUGGAAAGUUACAUCACAGAAGGUGAUAAUCCCGUACACCGAAGCCGAUCAGGCAUAGCGGUAUCCUGAGCAACAGCGGGACAUCAGAGGAAUCCUGGUAUGAAUCUGCUGACCAUCCGGUAUACAAACACUUCCGUGACCGAUAGCUGAACGAGUACUGUGAAGAAAGGCGAAAAGAACCCCGAGCAGGAGUGAAAUAGUUCCUGAAACCAUACGCCUGCUAAGCGGUCGUAUUGACAGCAAUGACGGCGUGCCUUUGGCCAAGCGAUCCUACGAGUUACCGUCACUGGCGAGGCUGGAGGUCAUGAGACACGUAGCCGCAGGAAAGCCGAGCCUCGACGACAGGGCGCACAGUCAGUGGGGGUAGACGCGGUCCGGGCGGAUCUACACUUGGCCAGGAUGAAGUCCCGCAACACGGAUGAAAAUCCGCACCAAUAAGCGCUGAAAGCUUCUGAUGAGCUGAGCAGGGAGUGAAAGGCCAAUCAAACUUGAGAAGCCGUACUCCCUGAAAGCAGCAUUUAGGCGUCGGAUGUCACCGUGAGGAGGUAGGUAGAGCGAAUUGAUAGACAAGAGGGUUUCGCACCGCCUAUCGAGUCCGACUUCCAACCCUGAAUGCUCACGGUCUGCAGUCCGGCAGUAAGGGGGCGGGUGCUAAGGUCCGUCCCCGAGAGGAGAAGAAUCCAGACCGCCGUCUAAGGUCCCGGAGUUCUGCCUGAGUUAGUCUAACGAAGUCUGGUCCCUAUGACAGCUAGGAUGUUAGCUUGAAGCAGCCAUUAUCCAAAGAGUGCGUAACAGCUCACUUAUCGAGGUCCGGGCAUGGAUAAUAAUCAUAAGGCAGACACCCCGAAGGCGCGGGAUAGAAUUUUAAAAGUAUCGGUAGGGGAGCACCACAGCAGUCGAACGGUGUAAUGCGUUCCCGGAGCGGUGAGUAAAGCAAAAUGUAGGAAUAAGUAACGAUAAGGAGGGUUAGAUUCUCCCGCUAAGACCAAGGUUUCGGCAACGCCUAAUCAGCCCGGGGCCAGCUCUGGGUCCUAAGUCUAAGCCGGCCACGAACGGCGAGAUGGCGAUGGCAGAGACGGCGUUAAUAUUCCGUCACCGCCGCAUGGGGCGAUUUCCGGAGAUGGAAAGCAGUGAAACGACCGCGGGCGACGGAAGUCCCCGCCAGCGGCGUAGGCGUUGAGGAAGGCAGGCAAUCCACCUUCCGAGCUGAACCUGAUUAGCACGGAGUCCUCGGAGGAAUCUGAUAGGUAAUCAUAAUUUCGAGAAAAUCCGCUGCUUUAACCCAUGCGGUUAAUCUGUACCAAAAACGGACACACGUGGUCGGGUAGAACAUACCUGGCGGCGUUGAGAUUCAUGGUUAAGCGAACUUAGGCAAAUUGACCCUGUAACUUCGGAGGAAGGUCCGAUGAGCGAGGCGCAGAGAAUAGGUCCAGGCAACCGUUUAACAAAACAGGGCUGUGCAAACUCGAAAGAUGGUCGUAUACAGCCUGACACCCGCCUUGCGCUGAAGAGGAGAUGUCACUUCAGCAAUUAGGAAGCGAUUUCGAAUCUGAAGCCCCGGUAAACGGCGGCCGUAAAUCAUAACGGUCCCAGAAGGAAAUUCCUGUCGGGUGUAAGUUCCGACCUGCACGAAUGGUGUAACAAUCCGACGCUGCCCCUGUCCAUGAGCCCAGUGAAAUUGCAGUAUCGGUGAAGAUGCCGAUUGCUUCCGCGAUGGGACGAAAAGACCGUGAACCCUUUACUACAGCUUAGCAUUGACCUUGGUCACUAGAUGUGUAGGAUAGGCUGGAGGCUUCAGCUGGAGCGCUUUAGCUUCGCGGGUUUGAUCCUGGAAAUACGGCCCUUUGGCUGUUCGAGGUUCAUCGCGCAGUUGCGCGGACACGUUUCGGUGGGUAUCGAUUCGUGGUCGCCUAAAAGCGUGCAAUUCGAAAAUUUUGGGCGGCUCCCUGGCCGAUUGGUAACCGACCUCAAAGAGCAAUGGCAUUAAGGGCGCUUCGACUGGGAGGUGAUGCCGAGCAGGCAGGAAACUGGGGAAGGAUCCGGCGGAUGUAUGGAAACCUGUCGCUCAAAGGAUAAAAGGUACUCCGUGGGGAUAACAGGAUGAUCCCCAAGAGCUCAUAUAUCGACGUGGGUGGUUUAAGACUCCGAGGAUGUCGGCCUGGCUCUGCUACAUCCUGGGGCUGGAGAAUAGCCCUAAGGUUGGCUGUUGCCCAUUAAAGCGGCACGCGAGCUGGGUUCAGAACGUCGUGAGACAGUUCGGUCUCUAUCUAUCGUGGGCGUGGAGUUUUGAGCAGGCCGUCAUCAGUACGAGGACCGUGAUGGACAGACUUCUCCGGUUUACCAGUUAAAGCCGCCAGCGCACGCCAGUAUCUGAGUCUGGAUUUGAUAAGCGCUUCUGAAAGCAUCUGGCGCGAAGCCAGCCGCAAGAUGAGAACUCCAUUGAGGGUCGUCAGAGACGCUGACGUUGAUAGGGAUGAAAGUGUAAAGACAGCGAUGUCAAAGCCGAGCAUUUCAUUACUGCUUCCCGGAAACACUUUCUUUA
rnacentral:rRNA from 1 species